rnacentral:rRNA from 1 species
AACGAACGCUGGCGGCAGGCCUAACACAUGCAAGUCGAGCGGACCCUUCGGGGUUAGCGGCGGACGGGUGAGUAACGCGUGGGAAUAUGCCCUUCUCUACGGAAUAGUCCUGGGAAACUGGGGGUAAUACCGUAUACGCCCUUUGGGGGAAAGAUUUAUCGGGGAAGGAUUAGCCCGCGUUGGAUUAGGUAGUUGGUGGGGUAAUGGCCUACCAAGCCGACGAUCCAUAGCUGGUUUGAGAGGAUGAUCAGCCACACUGGGGCUGAGACACGGCCCAGACUCCUACGGAAGGCAGCAGUGGGGAAUCUUAGACAAUGGGGGCAACCCUGAUCUAGCCAUGCCGGGUGAGUGAUGAAGGCCUUAGGGUUGUAAAGCUCUUUGAGCUGGGAAGAUAAUGACGGUACCAGCAGAAGAAGCCCCGGCUAACUCCGUG